rnacentral:rRNA from 1 species
UGGGGAAUCUUGCGCAAUGGGCGAAAGCCUGACGCAGCCAUGCCGCGUGAGUGAUGAAGGCCUUAGGGAUGUAAAACUCUUUCACCGGGGACGAUAAUGACGGUACCCGGAGAAGAAGCCCCGGCUAACUUCGUGCCAGCAGCCGCGGUAAUACGAAGGGGGCUAGCGUUGCUCGGAAUUACUGGGCGUAAAGGGCGCGUAGGCGGAUCAGCAAGUUGGGGGUGAAAGCCCGGGGCUCAACCUCGGAAUUGCCUUCAAAACUGCUGAUCUAGAGUACGGGAGAGGUGUGUGGAACUCCGAGUGUAGAGGUGAAAUUCGUAGAUAUUCGGAAGAACACCAGUGGCGAAGGCGACACACUGGCCCGUUACUGACGCUGAGGCGCGAAAGCGUGGGGAGCAAACAGGAUUAGAUACCCUGGUAGUCCACGCUGUAAACGAUGAUUGCUAGUUGUCGGCAGGCAUGCCUGUCGGUGGCGCAGCUAACGCAUUAAGCAAUCCGCCUGGGGGAGUACGGUCGCAAGAUUAAAACUCAAAGGAAUUGACGGGGGUCAUAGCUGUUUCC